UACGAAGGGUGCAAACGUUGCUCGGAAUCAUUGGGCGUAAAGAGCGUGUAGGCGGCCACUUAAGUCCUGCGUGAAAUCUUGCGGCUCAACCGCAAGCGGUCGUGGGAAACUGGGUGGCUAGAGUGCGGGAGAGGAGAGUGGAAUUCCUGGUGUAGCGGUGGAAUGCGCAGAUAUCAGGAAGAACACCCGUGGCGAAGGCGGCUCUCUGGAACGCAACUGACGCUGAGACGCGAAAGCGUGGGGAGCAAACAGG
rnacentral:rRNA from 1 species